rnacentral:rRNA from 1 species
UACGUAGGGUGCAAGCGUUAAUCGGAAUUACUGGGCGUAAAGCGUGCGCAGGCGGUUUUGUAAGUUUUGUCGUGAAAUCCCCGGGCUCAACCUGGGAAUGGCGAUGAAGACUGCAAGGCUAGAAUCUGGCAGAGGGGGGGUAGAAUUCCACGUGUAGCAGUGAAAUGCGUAGAGAUGUGGAGGAACACCGAUGGCGAAGGCAGCCCCCCGGGUCAAGAUUGACGCUCAUGCACGAAAGCGUGGGGAGCAAACGAGG